AUUGAACGCUGGCGGCAUGCCUUACACAUGCAAGUCGAACGGUAACAGGUCUUCGGAUGCUGACGAGUGGCUAACGGGUGAGUAAUACAUCGGAACGUGCCCAGACGUGGGGGAUAACGAGGCGAAAGCUUUGCUAAUACCGCAUACGAUCUAAGGAUGAAAUCAGGGGACCGCAAGGCCUUGUGCGUUUGGAGCGGCCGAUGGCAGAUUAGGUAGUUGGUGGGAUAAAAGCUUACCAAGCCGACGAUCUGUAGCUGGUCUGAGAGGACGACCAGCCACACUGGGACUGAGACACGGCCCAGACUCCUAAGGGAGGCAGCAGUGGGGAAUUUUGGACAAUGGGCGAAAGCAUGAUCCAGCAAUGCCGAGUGCAGGAUGAAGGCCUUCGGGUUGUAAACUGCUUUUGUACGGAACGAAAAGGCUCUGGCUAAUACCUGGGGCACAUGACGGUACCGUAAGAAUAAGCACCGGCUAACUACGUG
rnacentral:rRNA from 1 species